GCGCAUCUCUGACAGACCUGGAGCAGUUAAUGUCUGCUGCUAAGGUUUCCACUGCAGAUGCAGAAAAAGAUGGUCUUCAUGCUUUCUGUCUGGUUGUGGCAGCCAAGAUUGAAUGGGGGAAUACAGGA
rnacentral:snoRNA from 1 species